rnacentral:lncRNA from 1 species
UGGAAUUUAUAGCCAAGCGGCGACGCUCACGUGCUCCUCGCCGCGUGGUCGCAGACCUUUCCCGGGAGCGGAUCUCCGUGGGGGGGCGGGGGGGCGGGGGCUCUCUCCAGCUUCUAAGGCUGCCUGGGAUCCUUCCUGCUCCUGCCCAGUAUUCCCUGGCUGUUCCGCCCUCCUGCCACGAGGAUGCUGGGAGCCCCGGGUGACCAGGAGCGCUGGGGUCGGGUGUGGACUUCGCGGAGCGGCCCCUCACCCCUGCGCAGUGUCCCGCAAAGUGCGAGCGGCCACAUAUUGGGCGGUGGCUCCAGAAAUGGAGUUGGUCUGGGGGCUCGGGUUCUUGUUUGUGCUUCAGCUGUUUUUUAUGGCUGGGUUCCACCCGACGCUGAUCGGUUGAGCACCGGACUAUGCUUCCUUUGUCUAGGUUCUGAGGCGGCUGGCACCGGGGUCUGGUACACGUCCCGGCUACUGCCGGGAGAUGCAAAGGGAGCCAGAGGUGAAUUUGCCCUCUCUGGACGCUACCCGGCCCUCAGGAAAAUCCUGCAUAACCAGAAGAGGAAAGGAAAACUUUGUCAAAUAAAAGUGAUAGUGUUGUGGAGAAGGAGGGAGAAGACAGGCCAAAGUCUAGCAUCUGCCAUUGUCACUGCAGACCGAGGCUGCAGAGGAAAGAGGAUUUCACAUUGUCUGUGGGACCGUGCUUCAAAAAGCUCUCUACAAAUCAGACUUGGUGCAGUAAAUGUUUCAUGA